GGGCCCGUAGCUCAGCUGGUAGAGCAACUGACUUUUAAUCAGUAGGUCACAGGUUCGAACCCUGUCGGGCUCACCA
rnacentral:tRNA from 10 species